CUAACCCACUCCAUUAGAAGUUACAAUUUCGGCAGUUUCCUUCACCCUUCUUCCUCUUCUCCCUUCUUCCUCUACUCCUGAUCAUUCUAUGCAGAGUCUCCCACCCGUUAUCUGCAAAAACAUUAUGUGAGACCAAUAGCAGUAGUCGACAUGGCAAUUUCAAGUUCUAAGGGCAAUCGCAAGUUCAUCCGCCAAAAGACAAACUCAAGUUCAGCUUUCAGAAAAGGUAUUUCUUUUUAACAUAAGUUGAGCCACAUUUAUUUUGACUGUGUUAUGAUUAGCCAAAAUUCUAUCAAUUCGAAUUAAGCCAAAAAAAAACUAUCAUUUUUGCAUUAUGGCAAACUCACUAAGAAACAGAACACAAAUUCUUGAAUAAGUAAAAAAUUUGGAACCCACACAAAUUGGAGAAAUAAAAAAAAAAUCUCCUUCCUGCUAAAAAGUUUUUCCCAAACGAACCAUUUAAACCAUAAUUGAAAAGCUAAAUUGGUGAUCUUUAAGAGUAGAUGAAUCAUACUCCUAUCAUAAUUUAUAGUUUUAUACUACUACUAACUAUUGGUAAUUUACAAUCCAAAGAAUUAUUUUAAAAUAAAAAUUUUAAAAUAUAGUAACCCAUAUUAUCAAGUUAGUGAAAAGUGAAAGCAUUUAUACACAUGACUUCUACAAAACUACUACUCCUAUAUUUAUACUACCACUAAGACAUGGAUAGAGAUGAAUCUUAACACUAAUAAAGUAUUACGUUACUCCUUAUCUUGCAAUAAUUCUACUUCCUGCUAAUAUUUUUUUCCCAAAUCAACUUAGCCUGAAUUUAAUUUCUUCAAACUUUCGAUCUAAUUUUUACCAUUUCUUCAAUACAUACAAUACAAUUACCCAGCAAAAAGUAUUUAAAAACGUUAAUUUCGAAAUACAUACACAUGCAAAAAGAAAUUGAGCCGAUUUAACACUCACCUACAACCUGUCAUCUUCAAAAGAUAUAUACCAGGAAAAGAACAACUUUUAUGAUACCACCUCCAUCGCCGCCGUCAACUAACACAUAAACCACCAAUGGUCUUUCCAACUUCGUCGAUCACCACCAUCAAUUAUAAAACUCCCCGAAAUCACC